AUGAUAGAGUUAUAUGAACAAUUACUUAUAAAUUCAAAUAUAGGCCGUUUCGUUCGUCCUAUUCUGAUAUUCAGGACCAAGAGGUAUUGAAUUCUCUUUUGGAUAGGCCCUGAAAGGAGAAGAAAGGCUGAAAUGCCAAUGGGCCUCUGUCUAUUCUCUAAUUGACCCGAUCCGAUAGUACCCGUUUUUGGAACGUCCAGUGCCAAAGUCACUGAAUGGUAA
rnacentral:rRNA from 1 species